CAAAGAACUCAAAGCAAGAGGUGCUUGCUACUACUGCAAAAACGAAGGACAUCUUAUUCGCGAAUGCCCCAAGAAGCGUCUAGACCGACUAGAGAAGAAAGCUGCCAAGCACGACCUAAUCAAUAGUUUAGAAGACCCACCAUUUUAUAAGUAUGAUGAUGAAGGUCGCUUGAUUAGUAUACAUUGCGGAGCAAAGAAGUAAAUAAGUUCCUUAAGUAUGGAGGAGUUCAAUAUGAACUAAGAACCUACAAAUAACCAUGUAUCUCCUUUGCUUUCGUGUUAGUCUUCCUUAAUCUCGAGGACGAGAUUCUUUUAAGAGGGGUAGGUUUUGUAACACCCUAAAUCUAGCAAAUGCAAACAAUCCUAUGUGAAUUAUUAAAUUUCAGUAGAAAGGAAAAAUAAUUAUGUUUCAAAUAGGGAAACCUUGAUAUAUACAAUUUGAAGAAUUUCUUGAAUAGAUAAAAUUUUAAUAAAGUGUUUGAAGCAUUCAUGCUGGAGCAUAAAUUUUGGUUGAAUUGAUUUGCAAAUACAAUUUUUGAUAUGAAGUAAAUCUCGUUCUAUAAAAUAAUAAAAUACUACUAUUGUAAUAUGUAUUUUAUUAUGUUAAUAACUUUUCAAAUGAUAGUGCUUGCAAAAACUCCAUUUUUAUUUUCUUGUGGUGGAGAUCUUUUAUUAAAAAUAGAAUUCUUCCUAAAACAAUAUUCUUCUACAAAACAGAUAUUUAUUUGUGUUAAUAUUAUUUUGGGAGUUUUUUUCUACAGUGUAUAUAUAUGUAUAUAUAUUGUUACCAUAAAAAUAAAUU
rnacentral:lncRNA from 7 species